UGGGGAAUAUUGCACAGUGGGCGAAAGCCUGAUGCAGCAACGCCGCGUGAGUGAUGAAGGCCUUCGGGUUGUAAAGCUCUGUCUUCUGGGACGAUAAUGACGGUACCAGAGGAGGAAGCCACGGCUAACUACGUGCCAGCAGCCGCGGUAAUACGUAGGUGGCAAGCGUUGUCCGGAUUUACUGGGCGUAAAGGAUGCGUAGGCGGAUACUUAAGUCAGAUGUGAAAAUCCCGGGCUUAACUUGGGAACUGCAUUUGAAACUGGGUAUCUAGAGUGCGGGAGAGGAAAGUGGAAUUCCUAGUGUAGCGGUGAAAUGCGUAGAGAUUAGGAAGAACACCAGUGGCGAAGGCGACUUUCUGGACCGUAACUGACGCUGAGGCAUGAAAGCGUGGGGAGCAAACA
rnacentral:rRNA from 1 species